rnacentral:tRNA from 1 species
GGGGUAGUAGCUCAGAUGGGAGAGCGCAGCAAUCGCACUGCUGAGGUCAGGGGUUCGAUCCCCCUCUACUCCACCA